UUUUCACCUUUUUUUUUCUCUUCUUCUUCUUCCUAAUCUUUAAUGUUUUCGGAUUCAGCCUUUAUACAUUCUAGGGUUUUUUUUUUAGAAAAAAAUUUCUCUAUAUAAUCUCUUCUUUGUUUUGAUAUAUGUAGAGAGAGAAUGAGGCAGCCGACACAUGUAUGCUUUGCAUGAAAGGGAGAGAGAGAGAGAUUUAAUUAAGCUUGUUUUAUUAAAUUUUCAAGCUGCAAUUUUGAGUUUUAUCUCCUUUACCUUUGUCUCUAGAUUCAGUUCCUUUAAAAAAAAAAAAACUAAAGCUGGGAGAAUCAGAGAUGAAACCCUAAUUGCAGUGUCCGUACUUAGAUUUAUACUUUCCUUUUAUGGAUUCAUCGAUCAAGUCUUUGUUAGUUGCUGUUUAUCCCCAGAUUUGAUUUCAAGUACCUUCGAUCUGUACUUGUGUCUUUCUCUUUUUUUUUUUUAAUCUUUUUUUUUCAUCGGUUUCUGGACUAAAUGUCUUUUUGUUUGUUUUGUUUUGAAAAACAUAUUUCAUGCUUAUAUAUUAUAAUCAGAUAAAUUAUGUGCGUGUAUAUAUAUGUUGAUGGGGGAAAAGAAGUUUACAGAAGAGAGUGAGCACACAAAGGGGAAGUUGUAUAAACUUUGUGUAUAUGGUUUGCUUUUGCGUGCUCACUCUCUUUCUGUCAUAACUUCUCCUUCAUGAAUCUUCCUUAUACGAUUGUUUUAGCUAGUCAUUUUUUGUUCAUAUCUGUCUUGUGCAUACCAAAAUUAUGCAUAUAUAUGUGUGAAUAUGUAGACUAUUAGGAAUAGAUUAAGUUGUCAUAGGUAUCUCAUAUAUAUAGAAUUAUAUUUGAUGCUUAUAUUCAAUUGGUUAAGAUUUUGUUGAUCCAUCGUGGUUAGAGGAAUAUGAUGUACGCAUUCUUAAGUAAAUUAUAUGUUGUUAUCAUUUGAAACAAACAUUUUUUUUUUUUGCAGACUCUAGCACAUAUGAAUUGUCUCAAGGCUCAACUUCAAAAGGUGAGUGAAAGUUAUGCAGAUUGUACUUGAAUCCAUGGAAUCAGAUUGGUUUUAAUGGAGAAAAAGUUUGGAGUUGAUGUGCUCAAAAUCAUGGGCAUUGUAGUUUUCAUAGGACGGAAACAAGAACACUCUGUAAAUUUUGGAAUGUGUUAUGAAAGAAGUAUUGUCAUCUUUGUGUCCAAUUGUGUACAUUGUGGCGCAGCAUAAACCUACAAGCCCCUUUGAUUUCCCAUUGUUCUUCAUCUCAUCUUUUGAUUCUUCUUUUGAUAUUGUGUUUACACUUUCUGUGCCAGUUUGUUGCAAACUCCUUUACAUAUAUAUAGUAACCUAUUCAAUGUCAAGAUAAAUUAAAUUUAAUAGGUAGUGGAAAUUGCAAGUUUAGGAGUAUUCGAUAUUAUCAGUGGGAUAUGUUUGUGGCAUGUUGUCUCUAGCCACUUGAGCUUGUUCGUUGUACCAACUUCUUUUUCUUUUCAUUAACUAGUAUGAUAUCAGUUUGUUUCCGCAUAUCAGUUAUAACAAAAAUUGAUCUUUGGAUACGUCAA